rnacentral:sRNA from 1 species
CCGAAGAUCGGGAAUAGGAGUAUAUCGAACUCCUAGUACUGAUCAGAGUAGACUGUAGAUAGCUGGUUCCAUCGGAGAUUUCUAUUGGAUUAGCGUCCUCCACACAGUAGGUUCACAGUUUCUUUAAUUCUAGUUAUUGUGGGUCCACUUGAUAUUGUAAAUUUAAUAGUUUAUUGUGCUAUAGUAUGAAUGAAUUUAUUUUGUUUUUAAGUUACAAAAAGUAUUUACGCAUACCUGCAAAAUUUCUGUUUAUAAGAGAAUAAAAUAUUUUAGUGAA